rnacentral:rRNA from 1 species
AGCGGCGGACGGGUGAGUAACACGUGGGUAACCUGCCCAAGAGACUGGGAUAACACCUGGAAACAGAUGCUAAUACCGGAUAACAACACUAGACGCAUGUCUAGAGUUUGAAAGAUGGUUCUGCUAUCACUCUUGGAUGGACCUGCGGUGCAUUAGCUAGUUGGUAAGGUAACGGCUUACCAAGGCAAUGAUGCAUAGCCGAGUUGAGAGACUGAUCGGCCACAUUGGGACUGAGACACGGCCCAAACUCCUACGGGAGGCAGCAGUAGGGAAUCCUCCACAAUGGACGAAAGUCUGAUGGAGCAACGCCGCGUGAGUGAAGAAGGGUUUCGGCUCGUAAAGCUCUGUUGGUAGUGAAGAAAGAUAGAGGUAGUAACUGGCCUUUAUUUGACGGUAAUUACUUAGAAAGUCACGGCUAACUACGUGCCAGCAGCCGCGGUAAUACGUAGGUGGCAAGCGUUGUCCGGAUUUAUUGGGCGUAAAGCGAGUGCAGGCGGUUCAAUAAGUCUGAUGUGAAAGCCUUCGGCUCAACCGGAGAAUUGCAUCAGAAACUGUUGAACUUGAGUGCAGAAGAGGAGAGUGGAACUCCAUGUGUAGCGGUGGAAUGCGUAGAUAUAUGGAAGAACACCAGUGGCGAAGGCGGCUCUCUGGUCUGCAACUGACGCUGAGGCUCGAAAGCAUGGGUAGCGAACAGGAUUAGAUACCCUGGGUAGUCCAUGCCGUAAACGAUGAGUGCUAAGUGU